UUCGUCCUGCAAGACAUUUGGCUUUGAACGUGUAGAUUGUGUUAUCAGAGGCGCACACAUGUGCACGUCUGCGUAAUUGGUAGGAGUUUCCCGAUGACUGUCAGUCCCGCUCUGACAGCUAAACUACAAUCAUCAAAAGCAAAACAUUUCGGAUAUUUGAAUGAUUAAUUUGCCUUUCACCAAAAGCUGCACUGCACAAAUAUUGUCAGCAACAUACUUAAAGUAUUAAAAGUUAAAAACCUAAAUAACAAAUUGCCUCAUGAAAAACACCUGUGGUGUAGAAACAUAUGUGAAGCAGAAUUGAAACCAAUGAAGUCAAAGAUCUGUGUGCACAGUUGCAUUCAGGUACAUUUAGCUGCAGAAACAGGCAGGUUUCAUGUUCUCCCUGAAGAGAAAAUACUUUGUUAUGUGAUUUGAGAUUGAAGACUAUUUCAUGUUUUAUUGCUCAUUGUAUGAUGAUCUUCAUGUCUGUCUGAUUAGUUCUUUGUUGUGUUGUAUGUUUUAGGAAGGGGACAUUUUCUGUGACAGAUUUUAUUUGUAAAGCUUUGGACAGAUUUAUAAACAGACACCAGAAAUAACCUCCUCAUAAUGAUACAACAUUUUACAAACAAAGGUCUUUCUGUUGCAGCGACGCCUUUACAUACUUGCCACGGUGUAGUCCAUGUCAAAGCCGUAGCAUUUGAUGUUUUCCAGUGUCAGACUUCUGUUGAUGAAUACCCUGUGAUCAAACACAGCACAACUGAAAUCUGCAGACACAUGACCAGGAAAAUAUGUUUAAUCACAAGACCUCAGAGAUGUUAUGUGUUGGGUUCAUCGCAUACUACGUUGCAGUAGGGUCUUUGCUUAUCAGCUUGUUUGCAUCAGUUCUACCCAGAGGUUCAUGUAGGCCUGAAGGGAAGAAGUCAUCUACGUAUCUAUGACGCUGGCCACCUCACCUGAUCCCCAGCAGCUGACCACAGAACUUCCCCAAGGAGAUGAAGGUAGCGAUGGUCACACCCACCAUCCCUCGCAGCUUCUUGGGGGCGCAUUCAACAAGUGGACCAGCCACCAGGGACCCCAGUAAUCCCCCGAUGCAGAAAAUGGACACAGUGAAGGACCAGAUGAGAGAAACCUGCCACGGCUCCAAGGAGACAUUGUAUCUCUGUAGACAUGUUUUGUUCACCAGCUC